rnacentral:rRNA from 1 species
CAUAGGCUUCAAGCGUUGUCCGGAUUUAUUGGGCGUAAAGAGUUCGUAGGCGGUUGAGUAAGUCGGGUGUGAAAAUUCUGGGCUCAACCCAGAGACGGCACUCGAUACUGCUUAACUUGAGUUCGUUUGGGGAGUGGGGAAUUCCUAGUGUAGCGGUGAAAUGCGAAGAUAUUAGGAGGAACACCGGUGGCGAAGGCGCCACUCUGGAUCGACACUGACGCUGAGGAACGAAAGCAUGGGUAGCAAACAAGAUUAGAUACCCUGGUAGUCCAUGCGGUAAACGAUGGGCACUAGGUGUGGGUUUCUAUUAACGAAAUCCGCGCCGACGCUAACGCAUUAAGUGCCCCGCCUGGGGAGUACGGUCGCAAGACUA